CUGACUUUUUGCAUUUUAAUAAAGCUAUAAUUAAAAUUUUUUAUUUUAUUUGUGUACUUUUAGGGUUUCGAUAAUCUGAUGAGAAGAAAGAGAAGAAAACUAAGGCAAAGCAUUUGUUAAACAUAAACUGCAAAAACAAAAAGAAAAAAUAGGUGCUCUAAGCACAGUGCCUCCACCGUGCGCCAUCUAAAGAUGUACAACACGAAAUCGAAGCACAAUCACAGGGGGGGAAUUCUGAAAGCUGAAUUGCAAUCCAAGCAGGUCCCCAACACAUGUAUCCGAGGCGAUCCUCGCUGGUUUGGGAUUUCAGGGGUUAUUAAUCAGAAACAGCUUCAAAAUUAUCGGGAAGAGCCGCAAAGGCAAAUGGGUAAUAGCUACAAUGUGAUAUUGAAUCAGAGAGUGCUGCCAGCGUCAAUUUGAUAUUUUUUGCAAAUUGUUUAUGAACUGAGAGCAAUGUGGUGAAUUUGAUUGAUUGGUUUUUGCAAUUAUAUAAUAAAAGCUGAGAUUCAUGAC